UACGUAGGGUCCGAGCGUUGUCCGGAAUUAUUGGGCGUAAAGGGCUCGUAGGCGGUUUGUCGCGUCGGGAGUGAAAACUCAGGGCUCAACCCUGAGCGUGCUUCCGAUACGGGCAGACUAGAGGUAUGCAGGGGAGAACGGAAUUCCUGGUGUAGCGGUGGAAUGCGCAGAUAUCAGGAGGAACACCGGUGGCGAAGGCGGGUCUCUGGGCCGAUACUGACGCUGAGGAGCGAAAGCGUGGGGAGCAAACAGG
rnacentral:rRNA from 1 species